AACCUCUGCAAUAGGCGAAAGCUUGACAGGGUUACUCUGAGUGAUUUCCGUUAAGGAGAUCUUUUGGCACCUCUAAAAAUGGUGCAGAAUAAGGGGUGGGCAAGUCUGGUGUCAGCCGCCGCGGUAAUACCAGCACCCCGAGUGGUCGGGACGUUUAUUGGGCCUAAAGCAUCCGUAGCCGGUUCUACAAGUCUUCCGUUAAAUCCACCUGCUCAACAGAUGGGCUGCGGAAGAUACUAUGGAGCUAGGAGGCGGGAGAGGCAAGCGGUACUCGAUGGGUAGGGGUAAAAUCCGUUGAUCCAUUGAAGACCACCAGUGGCGAAGGCGGCUUGCCAGAACGCGCUCGACGGUGAGGGAUGAAAGCUGGGGGAGCAAACCGGAUUAGAUACCCGGGUAGUCCCAGCUGUAAACGAUGCAGACUCGGUGAUGAGUUGGCUUUAUGCCAACUCAGUGCCGCAGGGAAGCCGUUAAGUUUGCCGCGCUGGGAGUACGUCGCAUGAAGCUCCC
rnacentral:rRNA from 1 species